CAACUCCAUUUUUAAUUGUCAGGGCUCAGUUCCAGCCUUAAUAUCAUCAUCAUUGGAGUCUGUAAGAUUAUGAGCCUUGAAUUCCUGGACCAACUGCCUCUGUACCCUAAUUACAUAUGAUUCCAUGGACAUUCUUGUCCCUCUUCCCCCCAUUUCUUGAUGAACCCAGGCUCUGCUAGGAGCCUGGCCCCAGAUCCAAGAAGACAAUGUCAUAGUACUACUGGCUUCUCAUCGUAUCGGUAUAUCUAGGGGUUAUAUUGAGUAGUUUUAGGGUAAGCAAAUAAAGAUGUGAGACCUUCAGGAAAAAAAGACCCCUACAAAAAUACCUCAUAUUAUUCAGAGGAAUUCAAACCAUAUGUUUCUGCUUCUUUUACUGAUUCUUUUUACAAGUAAACCAUUAAAAUGCACUCCUCUAAGAGCUGUUUGAUGUCCCAAGAGCUCCCAAACAUUUUACAAGCUGUUUUCCUUAGAACCAAAGGAUAUGUUCAACUUACCCAAAAGAUGUGGAAGGCACCCAAAUCUGAAGGAUUCUUUCCCAACCUUUGAAUUAGAUGCAAUAAAUUGCCUGCUUCUAACUCUCCAUGAUGGUUGAAAUUUGUAACUGUCCUUGUGAAACCACUCUGACUUGGUUUCUGGGAGCAUUAGAAAGAGUGUCCAUGGAAGGAACUGAGAGUUUAGGAAUAUUGUGGUGUUUGUAAAUGCGGCCUUUUCUGCUGCUCGAUCCCUUUUUCUGAGCAGGAAGUUGCCUUGAAACAGGCAGAAAACAAUUACAGCCCAACAUUCAUAACCUGCUCAUCUCAAGGAUCCCUCUCUCAUAUUUUCUUUUUCUGUUCUAACCAGCAGAUAAUAAUCAUCUUGCCUCACACAAGAGAUUUAAGUUGGGCAGAUAAAAAAGACCCAUUCCAUCUUCAUCAGCCUGCCCUAUCUUGUUGAAACUCAACUCAUGACUUCAACUUGCUUGUGCAAAAAAGCUUAUUUUUAUCCCAUCUCCACCUUCUGGGGCUUUUAACAGACAUCUUUCCCUCUAGAGGUAUUACUUUUUAUUCUCAAAAAAAAAAAAAAUUCAAUAGCAGCUUCAACAUCUCACUUUGUCUAGAGGUUUAGCCUUUGAAAAUUCCCCAUGAAUUCUCUUUUUUAUGUAUUUUAUUGAGUCAUAAUUGACAUCUAACAUUAUAUUAGUUUCAGGUGCACAACAUAAUGAUUCCAUAUUUGUAUAUAUUAUGAAAGGAUCGCCGUAAGUCUAGUUAACAUCCGUCCACCACACACGAUUACAAAAUUUUUUUCUUGUGAUGAGAACUUCUAAGGCCUACUCUCUUAGCAACUUUUAAAUAUGCAAUAUAGUAUUAUUAAAUGUCAUCACCAUGCUAUACAUGACAUCACCAUGACAUUUCUUUUAUAAGAGGAACCCAUGAAUUCUCUUACUUAAGUCUUCCAAUUUAUUCUUACAAUAGUCCUGGGCAACCUUCUCAGCAUCCUACCAUCCAGUGAAGAUAAAUGAUGCUCCAGAGAAAAGUAAGGAAAAAACUGAAGCCUAGGUUCCUUGAUUUAAAAAUGACUGUAUUAGGGAGUUCCCAUCGUGGUGCUGUGGAAAUGAAUCCAACUAGUAACCAUGAAGGUGCAGGUUUGAUCCCCGGCCUCGCUCAGUGGGUUAAGGAUCUGGCAUUGCCCUGAGCUAUGGUUUAGAUUGCAGAGGCAGCUCGGCUCCCAAGUUGCUGUGGUUGUGAUGUAGACGGGCAGCUAUAGCUCUGAUGUGACCCUUAGCCUGGGUCCACAUGCCACGGGUGCAGCCCUAAAAAGCAAAAUAAAUAAAUAAAUAAAUAAGACAGUAUCUUCUAUUUGGGGACUUUUCAAGCAGAAAAUACUUAAUAGAGCUCCACAACAAAUCUACACCCAUGACUCAAAUCCACCCCCAUGAAUACCUGUGAUUGAUUCAGUUAAUGAAUGAGUGAAUGUUUAGCCCCCUGGGGUGGGGGCUACCUGAGAGGUAGGAAGCCAGAUAACUUAUUUUAAGGUUGGCUCAAUGGGAGAACUAGCCUUUCCAGUGAGUGUGUGAGAAACUCUAAGUCUGAAGGGAGAAUACAAGUAAGGCUGAGCAGGUUCAUUUUACUUUAAGAAAAAACAAAUGAGUCAAAUUAAGAAACUUCUAGAACUGCCUAAUUAUGUACAGCAAAAAAAAAUACCCUUGGGCACCUGGUUCUUUUCACAGUGGAAGAGCUGUUUAGAGAAAAGUCAGUGCUUUGCACUAAUUACUGGUUAUCCAAUCCUUUGCAAAAUGCUCAAUGUUUGCAGUGUCGGAGUGAUUCAAUGUGAAAUAUAGCUUCGGCCAUGCUUUGGUACAGAUGACAAAGAGCACGGGUGUUCUUUCUGGCUCCAGUGAUAGUCCCACCCUCCUCUGCAUCCAUAUCACAGGAAGAAAGUGACUUAGUGAACAAGUAAGCUUCAGGACCUUGCAGAUCCAGGACUGGGUCCUUCUGAGCCCAGUAACGAGCAGUCAAGAGAAUAGCACUGAGUCCUUUUACAAAAAUUCCACCAGCUUCAGCUUAAUAUCCAUUCAUCCAGUCUAAUGUCUCUUGACAAAGAAGGAGAAGUUUUACCGCAGGUGAGGAGUUCUGCUUUCUGUCUGUCAUCCAUCAAAAUCGCCCUCUUAAUCUUCAAGCAUAGGCUCAUACUUGGUCAGUUGUUCUCAAAGUUAGCAGAGAGAAGAAUUACGGAGGUCUUGUUAAAGCACUGAGUGUUGGGUUUCUGACCCUGCAGAGUUUCUGACCCAUCAGGGCUAGAGUGAGCCUGAGAACAUGCAUUACUAACAAGUUCCCAGUGAUCCUGAUGCUGCUUAUCCAGGGACCACACUUUGAAAAGCUUCGAUGUGGGCUUACCCUUUCACCUGUGUUCUUAUUCCCAUUCCUUUUGGCCUCCUUUGAGGAGAACAUUGACCUUAUCCUUACUUCCUCCCUGACUCAGCUUUGAGCACAAAUGGGCAUCUUCUAUGUAAGGACCAUCAUUUAUGUCCUUGACAUUGACAAAAAUAUAUGUAAUAGGGCCCACAUGGAGGUUGCUUGGUUCUCAAGCUUUUACCAACUGACAAAAAAGAUUUGCCACAUAGGUACUUUCCAAACCCCACUGUUACAGCCUCACUACCUUUCAGAAUCGGUCAAAACACAGUUAAGCAAAGUCGAUGGAGAAGUAAGAGACCCUUGUCCAUCUAUCUCUCCAGAUACCACAAAAGAUUAAUUCCUGGCUUAAGCCAAACCAGCUGAGAGGCUCCACCUAACCCCACCUGGCCCCAUGAUAUGCCCUCCUCCAUGCAAGGCUCUGAGACACAGGUUUAGUGACCUGAGCAUUGGGCUGGGCCAUCGUGCUUACCUGGGGCCCUGUAGGAAACUGCCUCUAAUAACACACCUGUGCACUGCAGGAUAUGGCCCAUUACAAUGCUGCAGUCUCAUCACUGUACCACGAGGAAUGUCUCGCAUGAUCUUUACCCAGAACAGCAUCAUGCUUUCCCUGGGCAAAUGGCCCAAUUCUGCCUCAUGGACACUGCAUCUCAUAACUGGCUGUGACUGUCUCUUCUCUUUGGCCACUAGGUUCCUAGGUACCAGCUUUUUGGCCUUCUCUCAGGGGGAAGGCCCACAGAAGUAAACAAAAACACAAACCAUGGCUCCUGUGUGGAUAGAGGCUGCAAGGCCCACAGGAAGGUCAGGGAAAAUGAAUGCCUGAUGUGCCAGAAUCUCCAAGUGUCCAUGGGUCAAUUUCAACAUGCCAGCUGUCCGUCUGAAGAUUUUAUUGUCAUAGACCGUAACCUCAAAGAUCACUUGGCCCUGUCCUCUAGGCUGUUGUCUAGACAUUUGCUGGCUGGACUCUUCCAUCCAACACAGAAACCAGCCCAAGGUUGCAGCUGAAUGACAUUUGAAAGUUGGGCACAACUUGUCUCAACCUGGGUGGCUUUGAUUUUCAAAACUUUUGGAAGAUAAAUAUGAAUAAAAAGCAUCAUCUGUGUGAUAGUCACCGAGAGGCUUUCAAGAGCCAUGUCAGCCUUCAGAGUCACAUCCAGGGAGGAAGGCAGUGGGCUGGGGCCUCUUCUUUCCUUCUCAACUCUCCUUCUGUAAAGGAUACUUUGAGAUCAACUGAUCCUGGGAAGAUUGCUCACUGCAAGGACACAGUCAGCUUUGGUUUCCCAUGACAUUCAUGGACUCCUCUCUUCAAAUAUUUUUUCUUCUACUUCUCACCAGUGCCAAAACCUCUGAUAUAUUCUAUAUUUUGAUUUCUUUUUUCUGUUUUUUGUUUUUUACAUUGUACCCAUGGCAUGCAGAAGUUCCUGGGCCAGGGAUCAAGCACGUGCCACAUCAAUGACCCAAGCGAAAGCAGUGACAAUACUGGCUCCUUAACCCGUUGAGCCACCAGGGAACUCCUGAUAUAUCCUUUUUUUAAAGGGAAGCUCUCUGCUCUGUGGAAAACUGGAGGUUGCAAAUUGGUGUUCCUGAACCAUCCUGAGUAGGCUGCCAAAUCUCCUAGGCCUAGCAAAAUUCAUCAAUGUCAGGCAAAUCAGAGAGCCAGGAUUCCCAAUUAAGACUCCACAUCUGAGAGCAUCAAGGACUUUGGGAGCUCUCAGAAGCUCAAGCCAAAGAUGAACCCCUAGCAAUGGUCAAAUUUUCCAAGGGGAACCCCAUCUCCUGAAAUGAGAGAAGAGUUAGAAGCUCAGUCAGUCAGCACAGAAUUCAUACUGACCUUGAGAAGGAAUGGUGAGAAUAUAUCCACCAUGACUUUCUUAGCCACGUCCAGGCUCUGAGAGCCUAUUUCAUGCACUGUUUAUUCAAGUCCUUUGCAACCAGAGGUUUAUACUCCAAGUUAGGGCUUUUGAAAGCAAAAUAACACAAGCUUUGGCCAUCUCUUUCUCAUCCCGUCUGUGCUCCUCUGAGCCUCAUCCCCUGAAGUCAUGUAUCAGCAACCCAUAUUGAUGCUAAAGUGGUUAAUACUUAAACCAAGUCGAAAGAUGGAUACUGUCUCUGGUUUUAAAGACCUGCAGGAUUCAGCCUUACAUCCUGCCUGCCUGUCCCUAGGUCCCUAAUCCCCAACCAAACCAUGCAGCUCUUAAUGAAAUCUCUGGGCAGGGAAACACCAUGUUUUAACUCUGAAUUUUCUUGAGGGAAAGUGCCUUUCCCUAUCGUCCCCUGUGAAGUCACCCAAACUUUCUUGCUUUUUUCCUAAGUUCCAUCUUUCCAGCCUCUUAAUUAUCUCUGGGAUCAGUCCCAAGAAGGUCUCUGGCUUCUCUAAAUCUCUCCUAAAAGCCUUCCUUUUGUAAUAAAUGCAAGCGAGUUGACACAUUCCUUGGACCAAGAAGUCUCUAGCUUUGCAUGGCCUGCAAUUUU
rnacentral:lncRNA from 1 species